rnacentral:rRNA from 1 species
GGGGAAUUUUGGACAAUGGGCGCAAGUCUGAUCCAGCAAUGCCGCGUGCAGGAUGAAGGCCUUCGGGUUGUAAACUGCUUUUGUACGGAACGAAAAGCCCUGGGUUAAUACCCUGGGGUCAUGACGGUACCGUAAGAAUAAGCACCGGCUAACUACGUGCCAGCAGCCGCGGUAAUACGUAGGGUGCGAGCGUUAAUCGGAAUUACUGGGCGUAAAGCGUGCGCAGGCGGUUUUGUAAGACAGAGGUGAAAUCCCCGGGCUCAACCUGGGAACUGCCUUUGUGACUGCAAGGCUAGAGUACGGCAGAGGGGGAUGGAAUUCCGCGUGUAGCAGUGAAAUGCGUAGAUAUGCGGAGGAACACCGAUGGCGAAGGCAAUCCCCUGGGCCUGUACUGACGCUCAUGCACGAAAGCGUGGGGAGCAAACAGGAUUAGAUACCCCUGGUAGUCCACGCCCUAAACGAUGUCAACUGGUUGUUGGGUCUUAACUGACUCAGUAACGAAGCUAACGCGUGAAGUUGACCGCCUGGGGAGUGCGGCCGCAAGGUUGAAACUCAAAUGAAUUGAC